AUUGAACGCUGGCGGCAUGCCUUACACAUGCAAGUCGAACGGUAACAGGUCUUCGGAUGCUGACGAGUGGCGAACGGGUGAGUAAUACAUCGGAACGUGCCUAGUAGUGGGGGAUAACUACUCGAAAGAGUGGCUAAUACCGCAUGAGAUCUACGGAUGAAAGCAGGGGAUCGCAAGACCUUGUGCUACUAGAGCGGCCGAUGGCAGAUUAGGUAGUUGGUGGGAUAAAAGCUUACCAAGCCGACGAUCUGUAGCUGGUCUGAGAGGACGAUCAGCCACACUGGGACUGAGACACGGCCCAGACUCCUACGGGAGGCAGCAGUGGGGAAUUUUGGACAAUGGGCGAAAGCCUGAUCCAGCAAUGCCGCGUGCAGGAUGAAGGCCUUCGGGUUGUAAACUGCUUUUGUACGGAACGAAAAGCCCCGGGUUAAUACCCUGGGGUCAUGACGGUACCGUAAGAAUAAGCACCGGCUAACUACGUGCCAGCAGCCGCGGUAACAC
rnacentral:rRNA from 1 species